UGGCGACCGGCGCACGGGUGAGUAACACGUAUCCAACCUGCCGAUGACUCGGGGAUAGCCUUUCGAAAGAAAGAUUAAUACCCGAUGGCAUAGUUCUUCCGCAUGGUAGAACUAUUAAAGAAUUUCGGUCAUCGAUGGGGAUGCGUUCCAUUAGGUUGUUGGCGGGGUAACGGCCCACCAAGCCUUCGAUGGAUAGGGGUUCUGAGAGGAAGGUCCCCCACAUUGGAACUGAGACACGGCCAA
rnacentral:rRNA from 1 species